AUGCCGAUGUUUCAAAAUGAAGAAUGUGAUGCCAGUGUUGGUUCUAUUGCUAAAGCGUUUGUCCCCACUGGCAUGCUCAACUCAGAUAGUGCUGAUGUUGUUUUAUAUUCUCUACGUCAGAAGUACCGAGACACUGACAAGUUGAUAGUUCCCAGAUGGCUUAUUUUCCCUACUUUUGAUCCGCCGUCAUUUGCGGCUCCCAUGAAGCCUAGCGACGUAUCUGGUCAUUGGUGCUUGAUUGUUCUGAAUUUGAGGUUCCGUCAUUUCGAGUGUCUUGAUUCACGACACGAUGAAACCUGGAGUGAUGUAGAUAGAUUCUUAAGGACUAUGACAGAUAACAUCAAGAAGCUUUGGAGGGAGUCCAGCGUAGACAGGGCCAAACCGUUCUCACCGGUGCAUAUUGAUGGUUUCUCUUGCGAGUUUGUGCGGGUGCCACAGCAGAAAAACACCCAUGAAGACAUUCUUGACAUUAGGAAGACUUUCCUGUAUACCUGCGCAAUUAGUGAUCUAUUUGAUGUUGACUUUCGUGGUUUGUUUGGCAUCGAACCCUAUACUGGAUGGAUCUUGAUGAGCAUGACUACAAGAUCUUUAGCAGCCAGUUCUCGGAAAGGUCUGGUGUUAUUAAGGGGCGGUUGGGAGCUCUGA
rnacentral:rRNA from 1 species